GACGAACGCUGGCGGCGUGCUUAACACAUGCAAGUCGAACGGAAAGGCCCUGCUUUUGUGGGGUGCUCGAGUGGCGAACGGGUGAGUAACACGUGAGUAACCUGCCCUUGACUUUGGGAUAACUUCAGGAAACUGGGGCUAAUACCGGAUAGGAGCUCCUGCUGCAUGGUGGGGGUUGGAAAGUUUCGGCGGUUGGGGAUGGACUCGCGGCUUAUCAGCUUGUUGGUGGGGUAGUGGCGUAACAAGGCUUUGACGGGUAGCCGGCCUGAGAGGGUGACCGGCCACAUUGGGACUGAGAUGCGGCCCAGACUCCUACGGGAGGCAGCAGUGGGGGAUAUUGCACAAUGGGCGGAAGCCUGAUGCAGCAACGCCGCGUGCGGGAUGACGGCCUUCGGGUUGUAACCCUCGUUCGCCUGUGACGAAGCGUGAGUGACGGUAAUGGGUAAAGAAGCACCGGCUAACUACGUG
rnacentral:rRNA from 1 species